rnacentral:rRNA from 1 species
CGGGGGACAAAGUGACAGGUGGUGCAUGGUUGUCGUCAGCUCGUGUCGUGAGAUGUUGGGUUAAGUCCCGCAACGAGCGCAACCCUUAAGCUUAGUUGCCAUCAUUAAGUUGGGCACUCUAGGUUGACUGCCGGUGACAAACCGGAGGAAGGUGGGGAUGACGUCAAAUCAUCAUGCCCCUUAUGAUUUGGGCUACACACGUGCUACAAUGGACAAUACAAAGGGCAGCUAAACCGCGAGGUCAUGCAAAUCCCAUAAAGUUGUUCUCAGUUCGGAUUGUAGUCUGCAACUCGACUACAUGAAGCUGGAAUCGCUAGUAAUCGUAGAUCAGCAUGCUACGGUGAAUACGUUCCCGGGUCUUGUACACACCGCCCGUCACACCACGAGAGUUUGUAACACCCGAAGCCGGUGGAGUAACCAUUUGUGGAGCUAGCCGUCGAAGGUGGGACAAAUGAUUGGGGUGAAGUCGUAACAAGGUAGCCGUAUCGGAAGGUGCGGUUGGAUCACCUC